rnacentral:rRNA from 1 species
CCUACGGGUGGCAGCAGUGGGGAAUAUUGCACAAUGGGGGAAACCCUGAUGCAGCGAAGCCGCGUGAGUGAGGAAGUAUUUCGGUAUGUAAAGCUCUAUCAGCAGGGAAGAAAAUGACGGUACCUGACUAAGAAGCCCCGGAUAACUACGUGCCAGCAGCCGCGGUAAUACGUAGGGGGCAAGCGUUAUCCGGAUUUACUGGGUGUAAAGGGAGCGUAGACGGCUAAGCAAGUCAGAAGUGAAAACCCAGGGCUCAACCUUGGGAGUGCUUUUGAAACUGAGUAGCUAGAGUGCAGGAGAGGUAAGCGGAAUUCCUCGUGUAGCGGUGAAAUGCUUAGAUAUUAGGAGGAACACCAGUGGCGAAGGCGGCUUACUAGACUGUAACUGACGUUGAUGCUCGAAAGCGUGGGUAGCAAACAGGAUUAGAUACCCUUGUAGUC